rnacentral:rRNA from 1 species
AGGACUAACGCUGGCGGCGUGCCUAACACAUGCAAGUCGAACGAGGGGUAGCAAUACCCCUAGUGGCAGACGGGUGAGUAACACGUAGUCAACCUACCUCUUAAUGGGGGAUAACUAGCCGAAAGGUUAGCUAAUACCGCAUACGAUCGUCGAGUGGCAUCACACGACGAUGAAAGGAGCAAUCCGUUGAGAGAGGGGACUGCGUCCCAUUAGUUAGUUGGUGGGGUAAUGGCCUACCAAGACUCCGAUGGGUAGCUGGCUUGAGAGAGCGACCAGCCACACUGGAACUGAGACACGGUCCAGACUCCUACGGGAGGCAGCAGUGAGGAAUUUUCCGCAAUGGGGGAAACCCUGACGGAGCGACGCCGCGUGUGGGAAGAAGGCCUUCGGGUCGUAACCACUGUCGAGGGGGACGAUAUUGACGGUACCCCUGGAGGAAGCCCCGGCUAACUACGCGCCAGCAGCCGC